UACGAAGGGUGCAAGCGUUAUUCGGAAUAAUUGGGCGUAAAGGGUGCGCAGGCGGUGCGUUAAGUCAACUGUUAAAUCUCCCAGCCUAACUGGGAAUCAGCAGUAGAUACUGGCGCGCUAGAGGGUGGAAGAGAGAAGUGGAAUUCUCGGAGUAGCGGUAAAAUGCGUAGAUCUCGAGAGGAACACCGAUGGCGAAGGCAGCUUCUUGGUCCACUUCUGACGCUCAUGCACGAAAGCGUGGGGAGCAAACAGGAUUAGAAACCCGUGUAGU
rnacentral:rRNA from 1 species